GAAGGAAGGAAGGGGGGAAGGAAGGAGAAAGAAAGAAAGAAAGAAAGAAAGAAAGAAAGAAAGAAAGAAAGAAAGAAAGAAAGAAAGAAAGAAAGAAAGAAAGAAAGAAAGAAAGAAAGAAAGAAAGAAAGAAAGAAAGAAAGAAAGAAAGAAAAAGAAAGAAAGAAAGAAAGAAAGAAAGAAAGGAAGGAAGGAAGGAAGGAAGGAAGGAAGGAAGGAAGGAAGAGGGAGGGAGGAAGGAAGGAAGAAAGAGAAAAGAAAAGAAAACCUAUAAUGAAACCAAAUACGUAAAAUUAAAGGGAAAAUUUUAAAAAUUGUGCCUGUUACAGUUGCAGGUGUGGAGGCAGAAGAGUCUCUCCCCGAUUCUCUUCCAACUGUGAUGACAGCCCAGGGCAGAAUGAUGGUCAUGCAUGACACGUCCAUCCAGCUCUGUUCACCGCGAGCCUUUUCAGCAACUGUGGUCCUGCACGACGCUCACACUGUCCCUGAGAGUCGGGAAAGGGAUGACACUCCUUGUGGGGAAGCCUUGCCCUCCUGCACAAUGGACUGAAAAAUGAUGAUAAGACAAUGCACCUGCCUUCAAGAUGCCAUGGUCCACUGAGGAUGAUUCAAAAGUUACAAACCAAGGGACAAAACCCCAAGCACUGCAACAGGAACUGACAACACAACGACCAUGUGUGCUUGAGAUAAGAGGCUGACACACCAGGGGCUGGGCAGAGGCCACGGACCUGCUCUCUUGGGAGUUACCUGAGUCAUCCAAGGCUGCAUUCAGUGCAUCUCUCCUGAUCCUCUCCACUCUGCUCCUGAGCUGCUGAGUAAGCUCCCCUUCUCAAGUGACUCCCAGGAAACUGGUUUAGCAGCACAGCAGAAAGUCCAGGCAGCUAGGGGGGCGGGAAGCAGAAGAUGGGCCUCCAUUCAGAAGCCAGCAGCUGCAGGAAUCUUUCGCUGCACCACGAGGCUCAUCCUGUCCCCUGACCUUGGGCUCCAG